GACGAACGCUGGCGGCGUGCCUAAUACAUGCAAGUCGAACGCAGUGGGGACGGGGUAGUAACACGUGGGUAACCUCCCAUCAGAGGGGAUAACACUUGGAAACAGGUGCUAAACCGGUAAUCAGGGAUGGACCCGCGGUGCAUGAGCUAGUUGGGGAGGUAACGGAUCACCAAGGCCACGAUGCAUAGCCGACCUGCGAGUGUGAUCGGCCACACUGGGACUGAGACAAGGCCCAGACUCCUACGGGAGGCAGCAGUAGGGAAUCUUCGGCAAUGGACGAAAGUCUGACAGAGCAACGCCGCGUGAGUGAAGAAGGUUUUCGGAUCGUAAAACUCUGUUGUUAGAGAAGCGGUAUCUAACCAGAAAGCCACGGCUAACUACGUGCCAGCAGCCGCGGUAAUUC
rnacentral:rRNA from 1 species